rnacentral:rRNA from 1 species
UACGAACUGUGCGAACGUUAUUCGGAAUCACUGGGCUUAAAGGGUGCGUAGGCGGUUAUCUAAGUCAGGUGUGAAAUCUCUCGGCUCAACCGGGAAACUGCGCUUGAAACUGGAUGACUGGAGGGAUGCAGGGGUGUGUGGAACUUCCGGUGGAGCGGUGAAAUGUGUAGAUAUCGGAAGGAACGCCAGCAGCGAAAGCGGCACACUGGGCAUCUACUGACGCUGAGGCACGAAAGCUAGGGGAGUGAACGGG